CACACACAGGCCUGCGCCCACUGUCUGGCACUCCCUAGUGAGAUGAACCCGGUACCUCAGAUGGAAAUGCAGAAAUCACCCGUCUUCUGUGUCGCUCACGCUGGGAGCUGUAGACCGGAGCUGUUCCUAUUCGGCCAUCUUGGCUCCUCCUCUGUACCAGGAAACACCUUAGUGUCAUAUUUCUGCAUUAAUCAUGGAAUCUAUUUUCAUUUAAAACCCCAAACAGAAGGUGUUGCAAAAAGACACUGGGAACACAGCAAUGAAUAAGACAGAUCCAAUCUUCAGGGGCCUCUAAUAUCUAGCAGCACUCAUCUACUCAAUCCUGAGGAAGAAGACAUUCACUUCCAGCUUUAUCCACUGAACAUUAUGUAACUUUUCUGUUGUUUACAGAAAGAUUGAGAACUGGAAAUUCCCACCAACUGGCAUUUGCUCUGUACUUAUUAAAGCAAAGUGUUACGUUAGGUGCUUUAUAGUAUGUAAAGAUGGUUAUGAUUCCCUGGGUGCAUAAUACGGUGAGAGAAAACAUAGGGAGACACAUGUACAGAGUGUGAUGAGGAGAAAGUCCAUCCUUUUCAGAGUGCCUCCCAAAGGAACAGGGAUUAGAUGGAACCCUUGUACAACUGUGUAGAGGGAGUUAUGGUGAGACCAUAUAUUAGGUCCUUUGUGAAGAAAGAGUAACUAGAGGAAAAUGCACAUUAAGGACUAAUGGAUUAAGGGAAGUUAUAGAAUAUGAUAAAAUAUAGAGCAAAUCCAGAUAGACUCUUACCAUCCUAUCCUGUAACUUCUCUGAUCUUUCAUGAAACUCCUCUUUGAACUCCCUCCUCCAGCCUCAGGAGUUAAAUCAACAAUCCCUAAUAUGCAUUUUACUCUAGCUACUUUUGAGAAUAUUCUCUUCAACUUUAAAAAUUGUCCUCAUCAUUCAGGGUUUUUCCAAAGCCUGGCCUACUCCACUGAGCCUUCCCCAACUACUGAACCAAUAUUACUAUCUUUCUUUCUAGAAUACAUGUGAUCCCCUUUGCUUCCUGAAACAAUCAUAUACAUACAGUUAUAUAUACCGAAUGCUUAUUGGCUUGAGUUUUCUCUCUCCAGAUGUUAAGUUACUUGAAGGAAGUCUUCCCAUUGUUAUAUCUUCCAUGAUGCUGAGCAAGGCAUGUAACGAGAACUAUAUUAACACUUAUUGCUUUGACCAGACAACAUAUCUUAGAGCUGUACAAUUUCCUUUCAAAUCCUCAUCAGCAAUUCAUUGUCUUACACUCUUAAGAGUCUUAAUUAAAUUUCUUCUUUCCUAGUAUUUAUUAACUACUCCUAUGUACAUAUGCCAACUAGUCCAAAAGAGAAAGGAAACUACAUAACUUUUAUUUCUAGGGAUGUGACUCAAGAUUGUUCCAAGCCUAACCCAAGCCUCAGUUCUCAGUUUCAUCAAGAAACAUGCUUGGUUUCUUGAUCCAAUAAAUUCACUGCACAUUCUCCUAUUCUUUGAAAUAACUGAAAUGGUGCAGUUUAUCUGCAGAAGGCUUCUUCAUUGAAGAAAAUAAAUGCAUUCACCAGUAAUUUUUCAUUUCUGCAGUGUAACUAUUUGAAAUUUCAAGAACAAUUCUACUGUUCAGCAUCCCUAAAUAUCCCAACUACAAAAUCCAUACUUUAAAAUACUAGUAAAAAAUCACCCAGCUAUCAAAGCGGGCACAAAUUUUGAAGAAACACUAAGCAUUUCCAUUCUAUGCACACUGCCCAUUAUAUUUCUUUGAAAGCAGAAAAAAAUAUGAUUUUUUCUCUUACCACCAAAAUGCAUUUGCAAAUUGGCUUUAGAAAAUGUUUAAAUAAUUAUUCGAUAGUGUGAAUUUACAGAGACUCCAACACUGUUUUUCCCUGACAGAUUGACAGUGCAUUAUAAAUUCCAACAAUUUAUAUUUUAAGGCCCCAGCUUCCUAUGUCUGCCAACCAUGUCCCAGGCUUGAGAAAUUAUGGUCGUUUAAUCAGGGUUGAGCGUUUCCAUGCUCAACCUUCAAGCAGUGAUGCUGUGCCAUGUUUUCACCAGUGAUAGAUGAAUCCACUUACACUACCGCCUCCUGCGUGACAGUACUUUAGAAGUCCUGCUAAAGUUCACAUUUCUCAAUAUAUCAAAGUUUAGCAGCACAAUGACCUUCUGAUAUUUGUUUUCAACAGUUUAUAACCAACAGUUCGUUACUUUCCCAAAACGAAGCGGAAGAGAGCCAGUAGAUGCUCACUCUAGCAGAGCAGGUGCCACAGCAUAUUCCAAGUCUGGAAAUUGAUUGCAGGGAAUUCUGUAAAGAAAAGUCUAGGACAGUGUUAACCUCUUAAGCCACUAAUGCCAGGAGAGCCAAAGAGUCAGAAUUACAACCUUCUUAUCUGUCUUUUACUGUAUUGCUGAAAGGAUGUAUGAAUCCUUUUCACGGCAUUUUCUCGACAUAUAGUUAGUUAUUUCUGUUGGACAUUGUCACUCAGCCACCUCCCUUGGUCACAGCCAUUUAAUCGAAAACCUUCUAGGAUAAUCCAGAGAUCUCAGCAGGGAAAACAUAUUUUCCUUUUACUUGGAUUUGAACUCUAAUAAUAUUUGGGCUUUCUCACUCUGAUGAAUGGCAUGGGAUUAUAUAUGAGUCCAAUAAGAUUCUUUUUGCCACUCAAGCUAGAACUAUAAAAAUAAUACCAAGUGGUUUUUGUUUUGUGUUUGUUUGUUUGUUUGUUUGUUUAACUCAAUAUCCUAAUUUGUCUCCAGGGUCUCAACUUUUUUCUUUUUUUGAGACAGGGUCUCGCUCUGUCAACCAGGCUGGAGUGCAGUGGCACGAUCAUAGCUUACUGCAGCCUCGAAAUCCUAGGCCCCAGUGAUCCUCCCUCCUCAUCCUCCCCAGUUAUGGGGACUGCAGGCAUGCACCACCACACCAGCUAAUUUAAAUUUUUUUCUUUUUAGUAGAGAUGAGGCAUCACUCUGUUGCUCAUGCUAGUCUUGAACUCUUGGGCUCAAGCAUUCCUCUUGCCUCAGCCUCCCAAAGCACUGGGAUUACAGAUGUGAGCCGCCACAACCAGCUUCAACAUUCUAAUGUAGAAAAGAAGCCCAAUUAGGUAUAUCUACAUAAAUUAAUAGUCACUAGCAUUCAUGUGGCAGCCACUACGCCCUCUUUCAUUUAAUUCACUCAAUUUAUCAAGGAAGUAGCUGGUGUUAUCACCUUCAUUUCACAGAGGAGGAGGCUGAAAAGGAAGCAUCUGAGCUUGCCUGUUCUCCAUGCUGUCAGAAAGUCACGGAUGUGACUCAUCUGCUGGGUAGCAGAACCUGUCUCUUGACCACUACCUUACACUGAGUAUUUUUCACCAAGAUUUAGCAGGAGAGGCACCUUAACCAUCCACAGAAUUCUUUCCUACCCCAGAGUUCACUCUGAGCCUGACAGCCUCAGAAUGUAUGUUUUUAUUUUCCGGAAAUGUGAUCCCAAACAGGACCUAGCCCCACAUCUGUCUUAUAACACCAAGUAUAUGAAAGGAAAAUGAGGGCAAGCACACCCAGAAAUCCCUCCAAAGACAUUUUGUGCAGAAGAACUGACUUUUUGCCCAUUUAUUUCUUUUCA
rnacentral:lncRNA from 10 species